rnacentral:rRNA from 1 species
GAUGAACGCUGGCGGCGUGCCUAAUACAUGCAAGUCGAGCGAACGGACGAGAAGCUUGCUUCUCUGAUGUUAGCGGCGGACGGGUGAGUAACACGUGGAUAACCUACCUAUAAGACUGGGAUAACUUAGGGAAACCGGAGCUAAUACCGGAUAAUAUUUUGAACCGCAUGGUUCAAAAGUGAAAGACGGUCUUGCUGUCACUUAUAGAUGGAUCCGCGCUGCAUUAGCUAGUUGGUAAGGUAACGGCUUACCAAGGCAACGAUGCAUAGCCGACCUGAGAGGGUGAUCGGCCACACUGGAACUGAGACACGGUCCAGACUCCUACGGGAGGCAGCAGUAGGGAAUCUUCCGCAAUGGGCGAAAGCCUGACGGAGCAACGCCGCGUGAGUGAUGAAGGUCUUCGGAUCGUAAAACUCUGUUAUUAGGGAAGAACAUAUGUGUAAGUAACUGUGCACAUCUUGACGGUACCUAAUCAGAAAGCCACGGCUAACUACGUG